rnacentral:pre_miRNA from 15 species
AAUGAACAUAUGGAAUGUCUCAUUGUCUUCGGCUUCUUUACAGUGCUGCCUUGUUGCAUAUGGAUCAAGCAGCAUUGUACAGGGCUAUGAAGGCAUUAAGUCUUGCUCUACCAAGAAUAA